rnacentral:rRNA from 1 species
UACGUAGGUGGCAAGCGUUGUCCGGAUUUACUGGGCGUAAAGAGCGCGUAGGCGGUUGUUUAAGUCGAAUGUGAAAGCCCCCGGCUCAACUGGGGAGGGUCAUUCGAUACUGAUCGACUUGAAGGCAGGAGAGGGAAGUGGAAUUCCGGGUGUAGUGGUGAGAUGCGUAGAUAUCCGGAGGAACACCAGUGGCGAAGGCGACUUCCUGGCCUGUUCUUGACGCUGAGGCGCGAAAGCUGGGGGAGCAAACGGG